AUACGUAGGAACCGAGCGUUGUCCGGAUUUACUGGGCGUAAAGGGCGCGUAGGCGGCCCAUCAAGUCUCAUGUGAAAUCUCCCGGCUCAACUGGGAGGGGUCAUGGGAAACUGGUAGGCUCGAGGGCAGUAGAGGAAAGCGGAAUUCCCGGAGUAGUGGUGAUAUGCGUAGAUACCGGGAGGAACACCAGAGGCGAAGGCGGCUUUCUGGACUGUACCUGACGCUGAGGCGCGAGAGCAUGGGGAGCAAACCGGAUUAGAUACCCGUGUAGUCC
rnacentral:rRNA from 1 species